UAGUCAGGUUAGAGAAAGUUUUGCCAAACUAAUAAAAUACCUUACUAAACUAAGCAAUAACAGAAAAUACUGCCAGAUUCGGAGACCCUUUGAAAUGUGCCGCGGUGUCACAGUGCUUCAUUCAUCUCCCAAGUUCUCAAUUAAAACCCACUGCUCAUAAGCUGAGAGGAAUGAAGAGGAAUGCUCACUGUGGAACAUCUGCAAACAUCACAUCGGAGAGGCACGAAACCCCCACCUCAAAAUGCACUGCACUGUGCUUGAACCUGCCCUGGAUGCCAGCAGCAGACAAUUAUAAACCUUGUGAGGGCUCACUGUACAGAGAGGGGGGACGGACGAAGUCGUGCACUGAACUCCUGACCCUCUUCACACACCAAGCGUCUGUUGUGGACUCCGGGAGGUGCAAGAUGGGUCACAGCAAGCUGUGAAGGGGAGACCAGAGGUGGGGGAGAUUGGGGCAUAGAGAGGGAGUGGAUGGAGUGGAACAGUAGCUACUGUGUAGAGAGAUUACCCUGCUACUGUGCCGCCAACAAAGCCACAGCAGAGAUGGAGUGAUUAUAUGUCAUAUCAUUGGUAAAGAAGUUGGUGAUCAGAUUGUUUUUGUUUUGUAAUAGUUAUUUGCAGUACAUCAGGUUCCACGUAUUAAAAGAAAUCCUUCUAACCCAAAAGGGGGUAUUACUGAUGUAUUUUGUGUUGUAGAAUAAAACAUGAA